GAUGAACGCUAGCUACAGGCUUAACACAUGCAAGUCGAGGGGAAACGGCAUCGAAAGCUUGCUUUUGAUGGGCGUCGACCGGCGCACGGGUGAGUAACGCGUAUCCAACCUGCCCAUCACUUGGGAAUAACCUUGCGAAAGUAAGACUAAUGCCCAAUGACAUCCCACGAAGGCAUCCGAAUGGGAUUAAAGAUUUAUCGGUGAUGGAUGGGGAUGCGUCUGAUUAGCUUGUUGGCGGGGUGACGGCCCACCAAGGCAACGAUCAGUAGGGGUUCUGAGAGGAAGGUCCCCCACAUUGGAACUGAGACACGGUCCAAACUCCUACGGGAGGCAGCAGUGAGGAAUAUUGGUCAAUGGGCGAGAGCCUGAACCAGCCAAGUAGCGUGCAGGAUGACGGCCCUAUGGGUGGUAAACUGCUUUUAUAAGGGAAUAAAGUGGGUCACGUGUGACUUUUUGCAUGUACCUUAUGAAUAAGGACCGGCUAAUUCCGUG
rnacentral:rRNA from 1 species